UGGGCACUGUGGAAGGAGGGAGUGUUGUAUGUGUGGCUCUUGGAUGGCUGAAAAAGCUCUCCUGUGUGUCAGCACAUCCCCUCUAACACCUGAGUGUAAAGGGUCCUGGAGAGUUAUUGCCACCAUUUCAUUGUCUGUUACUUGCAGCUUCAUGGUUUGUCAGGCCAACUGUGUCGAGUAAAUACACAUUCCAAAUAAAAUACUGUUCAAGUUGGUAGCAGAAUUUCCAUCUUGCUUCACAGAGACCAGUCUAUGGUCAUCCCUGCAGACAAGUGAAAAGCAGGAUGUGGAGUGGCAUCAAAAGGGAAAGGAAAGAAAAAUAUCUUGAUUAAUAUUUUAGGUUUAAAUAAAUUUCUCCUCUCCAUUUUAGCUACAGAGGAUGAGAUUUUCUUCCUUAUUGCACUUGGCUUUAUACAAAUGCAACUGAGAAAGCUGUCAAUUUUUAUUUCUUUUGGAAGAACAUAUUAUAAUUGUCAAAAUAGUCUGUGGUGAUCCCAUUUGUUCAGGUAGACAUAUGUUUGCUUUGACUCCUGUAUAUUUAGUUUUGCAAGUAUUAAAACAGCAAUAGUGUGAUUCUUUAUUAUUACUCCCUCUGAUAAUAACCUUUCUGUCUCAUAAAUAAUAAUAAAAAGUGAGUCAUU